rnacentral:lncRNA from 1 species
CCAAGAGUCCCCACUAAGGUUCCAGCCCCAGGGAGGGAGGAGGAGCAUGCAGGGAGCAGUCCCGAAACCCACGGUCUGUGCCUCCAGGAGACCGGUGGGAGCACAUGGGAUUCACCAAGAAAGAGCAGACCCAGAGGGCACCGGGCCAGCCCCAAGGAUGGAAGCCGGCAAACAUGACCAAGACCACUGCAACUACCACCAGAGGACACACAUGAAGAGCACUGUGGACCAGAGCUUCACAGACCAGAGCACCAUGCAGGAGGAUGAGCGCUGGGCCUGUCCUUCAUGGACACCUAUGGCUACAGCUCCUGGGGUGAGUGCCCAGCUCUCCUACCCCAUCCUCAUGGCCCCUGAGCUCUCUUCUUCCAGCCCCUUGAGCCAACAGGACGAGGCCUUUUGUCGGGUCCUCCAUGCAUGAGAUGAGUUCUGUAACACCAAAACCAAAGCUGAAGCACCUAUUGGGCUUCUGCUGAAUACCAGCACUGGCACAGGAAAUACAGAGCAGGCACAGGUAGCAACUUUGCACUGUGUACUGGAGGAGCUUGCAAGGAAUUCUGCUAGCAUAAGAGGAAUGCAAGAUCCAGCGUGACACUUGUCAUGGAGGAGGUGCUGCUGCAGGAACAGAGGGAUCAGAGUGGCCUCACCACCUAUUAAGCUCCUGCUGUGCACGAGGUGGGGAUACAGUGGCUGAGAGGGACCUAUAGAGAGUCACACAGAUCACCUAUGUGGAUGUCUGUUUCCUCAUCUGUAAAACAGGUACCAAUCACAAGGCUGCCGUGAAGACUAAAAGAGACCAUGCAGGUCAACCACUUGGUGCAGUGCCUGACUCCAGAAAAAGUAUGUGCAAUCUUAGCUGGCAUAAUUUGUGUCUGCUAGACCCUAUGCUGAGCUUUAAUAUAGCACUUCACUAGACCUCUUUUUUUUAUGACAUACUAUUUGGUUUUUAUAAAAAUUCUAUUUAACAAAUGUGUCAAUUAUGAAGCAUAACAAUAAAAUUAACUGCCAUGAAUCAGAUCUUGGGAAGUGGAAUAUUUUCGAGGGCACUGAAGGUCCUGGUGACCCUCCCCAGCUGUCUCCUCCAGUGACCCCCAGGGGUGG